GACGAACGCUGGCGGCGUGCUUAACACAUGCAAGUCGAACGAUGAAGCUCAGCUUGUUGGGUGGAUUAGUGGCGAACGGGUGAGUAAAACGUGAGUAACCCGCCCUUAACUCUGGGAUAAGCCUGGGAAAAACGGUCUAAUACCGGAGAGGAGCGCCUCCCGCAUGGGGGGUGUUGGGGAGAUUUGGCGGUGUUGGAUGGACUCGCGGCCUAUCAGCUUGUUGGUGAGGUAAUGGCUCACCAAGGCGCCGACGGGUAGCCGGCCUGAGAGGGUGACCGGCCACACUGGGACUGAGAUACGGCCCAGACUCCUACGGGAGGCAGCAGUGGGGAAUAUUGCACAAUGGGCGGAAGCCUGAUGCAGCGACGCCGCGUGAGGGAUGACGGCCUUCGGGUUGUAAACCGCUUUCACUUGGGAAGAAGCGAGAGUGACGGUACCGGCAAAAGAAGCACCGGCUAACUACGUG
rnacentral:rRNA from 1 species